rnacentral:rRNA from 1 species
UACGUAGGGGGCAAGCGUUGUCCGGAAUCAUUGGGCGUAAAGCGCGUGUAGGCGGCCCGGUAAGUCCGCUGUGAAAGUCCAGGGCUCAACCCUGGGAUGCCGGUGGAUACUGUCGGGCUCGAGUCCGGAAGAGGCGAGUGGAAUUCCUGGUGUAGCGGUGAAAUGCGCAGAUAUCAGGAGGAACACCUAUAGCGAAGGCAGCUUGCUGGGACGUUACUGACGCUAAGGCGCGAAAGCGUGGGGAGCGAACAGG